rnacentral:lncRNA from 1 species
UAGUUUAUUUUAUAGUAUUAAAUAUAUACUAUUAUAUAUUAUAUUAUAUAUAAUUAUUACAUAAUAUAUUUUAAAUAUAUUUUAUUUAUAAAUAUAAUUAUAAUUCUAAUAUAUAUAAUAUGAUAAUAAUUAUAUAUUAAUAAUAUAAAAAAUAUAAAAUAAAAAUAUAUAUAGUAAUUUUUAUUUAUUUAUUUUUUUCCAAAACAAACAACCGUCGUGGAAAACUAGUUUUCUUUUUCUAUAAACCAAAUAUAAACGAUAUAAAAUAUUUUUUUCACCGAAGAUUUUUUUUUUCAUCAAAAUUUUUUUUUUCCACAUUUUUAUGUGGAACCAAACACACCCUUAGCAUUCGAAU